UUGAUCUAAAUGCUCCCUUACCAGAAGGUAUCAUAAUUUUGAUCUAAAUGCUCCCUUACCAGAAGGUACCAUCAUUUUGAUCUAAAUGCUCCCUUACCAGAAGGUACCAUCAUUUUGAUCUAAAUGCUCCCUUACCAGAAGGUACCAUAAUUUUACACAAUAAUUAGUUCAGUUCAUGAUGCCUUUAGUUAACAUUAUUCUUCCCCAAAUUACAGGACUUUAUAAGAAAAAAAAA